rnacentral:rRNA from 1 species
AACGAACGCUGGCGGCGUGGCUAAGACAUGCAAGUCGAACGAGCUAGGCAAUUGAGCAAUCGAACGCCUAGUUAGUGGCGAAAGGGUUAGUAAUGGCUAGGUAACGUACCCUGUACUUCGGGAUAGCGUCUGAGUGCUUGCACUCUUCCGAAAGGGGCAUUAAUACCGAAUGAUAUCCCCCGUCGAUGGCGGGUGAUCAAAGAUUUAUCGGUGCAGGAGCGGCCUAGUUCCUAUCAGCUAGUUGGUGAGGUAACGGCCCACCAAGGCGAUGACGGGUAGCGGGACUGAGAGGUUGGCCCGCAACAUCGGGACUGAGACACUGCCCGGACCUCCACGGAGGGCUGCAGUAACGAAUAUUGGGCAAUGAGCGAAAGCUUGACCCAGCGACGCCGCGUGUAGGAGGAAGUCCUUCGGUAGUGUAACUAACUGUCAGGGGAAGGAAAGUACGUUCGGUCGGAGUUGAGUCUAACCCAACGAGGAAGGUACGACGGACGUAACCUUACGUUCGCCACGCGAGCCGGCGGUAAAACCG